CGCCCUUAGAGUUUGAUCAUGGCUCAGGAUGAACGCUAGCGGGAGGCUUAACACAUGCAAGCCGAGGGGUAAGUUAGCUUGCUAACUAGACCGGCGCACGGGUGCGUAACGCGUAUGCAACUUGCCCUACUGAAGAGGAUAGCCCAGAGAAAUUUGGAUUAAUACUUUAUAAUAGACUAUGGCAUCAUUAGUUUUGAAAGAUUUAUCGCAGUAGGAUAGGCAUGCGUAAGAUUAGUUAGUUGGUAAGGUAACGGCUUACCAAGACGAUGAUCUUUAGGGGGCCUGAGAGGGUGAACCCCCACACUGGUACUGAGACACGGACCAGACUCCUACGGGAGGCAGCAGUGAGGAAUAUUGGACAAUGGGUGGAAGCCUGAUCCAGCCAUCCCGCGUGUAGGAUGACGGCCUUUGGGUUGUAAACUACUUUUAUCUGGGGAUAAACCUACUUACGUGUAAGUAGCUGAAGGUACCAGAAGAAUAAGCACCGGCUAACUCCGUGCCAGCAGCCGCGGUAAUACGGAGGGUGCAAGCGUUAUCCGGAUUUAUUGGGUUUAAAGGGUCCGUAGGCGGACUAAUCAGUCAGUGGUGAAAUCCCUUAGCUUAACUAAGAACUGCCAUUGAUACUGUUAGUCUUGAGUGAGGUUGCAGUGGCUGGGAUGUGUAGUGUAGCGUGAAAUGC
rnacentral:rRNA from 1 species